CAGUGAGCAUUCAAUUCAACUUCUGGCUAUCUGUGGUUCAAUCUAACAGUAUUUGAUAAUCCUCGCUUAUGGGUCUUUUUUUUCUAAAUAAAAUAAAAUAAGAUAGUGAGAAUUUAUUAUCUCUCUCUAAGGAUCUAAUUUUUUUGCUAAAUGAUUAACAGACAGUAGACUAUAAGAGACCAACUUAUGAAGAAGUUGAGAACCUCCAAGCCUUACUUCCAAGGGAGUGCAAUAUCUGCCAAAUGCAAAUCGGCAAAAUGGUGAACUUUAUGGAUUCAAAAUGCUAGUAUUGGAAUGGAUAACUUGAACCCUUAAUGCACAAAGUGGAGCAGUUUUAGGUUGAUUUUGAUCUUUUACUAAGUAUUUAGGUUGAUAAUCAUCUCUAUUAGUGUAAUUUGAUAUAUUAUGAGCAGUUUUAACUUGUAUUGUUUCUGUAUUUUUCUUCGGUUUUUAGUUUUGGAAUCUGAACUCGAGAUUUAUUUUG